AAAAAGAUAAGCUAAAUUUAAGCUUAUGGGUUCAUACCCCGUCUAUGAUUCUCCGAUAUCUCUUUUUA
rnacentral:tRNA from 1 species